UACGUAGGGCGCAAGCGUUGUCCGGAAUUAUUGGGCGUAAAGAGCGUGUAGGCGGCCCGGUAAGUCCGCUGUGAAAGUCCAGGGCUCAACCCUGGAAUGCCGGUGGAAACUGUCGGGCUAGAGUCCGGAAGAGGCGAGUGGAAUUCCUGGUGUAGCGGUGAAAUGCGCAGAUAUCAGGAGGAACACCAAUGGCGAAGGCAGCUCGCUGGGACGGUACUGACGCUGAGACGCGAAAGCGUGGGGAGCAAACAGG
rnacentral:rRNA from 1 species